AAGUGGUGAGGAAAAGAAGACGUUUCUCAGCAGCGUGUAGGAAGAUGUUUGGAUGCUGUGACGCAGAAGCCAAAUCUGAUCCAGAGGGAGCUCACUGAAUUUCAGUUUCAUUGUGCGGUCCAUUCGGAGCUCUGCGCAUCCCUCCCUCUCUUUCUCAGUGAGUUUUGCUGUGGAGGAUUCCUGACUGAAUGGGUCUCGAAUCCAGUCACAGUCCUCUAUGUCUGCUUCAUCUGGAAAACAGCGCUCAAACCUCUCCUUAAGAGUCUGAAGGUGCGUAGCAGAUAAACUGCGCGCCCUGGCUGUGGCGGCUGAUGCCAGAGGAAACAUUUCCAUGGAGCCUUGUUUCAAAGCGUCCUGCCACAAGUUAUGUAAUUAGCAGCUGUCACCAAAUCCCACGGCACACCUGGACUCAUCUCACGGCACACCAUUUGGGAACCACUGGUCUAAGGACUUCGUUGAUCCAAAAUGAGCGAGUCAACUAAACCACCACCCGUGAUUGAAACCUGGACCAAGGAAGACGUCCACCGUUGGCUGAUGACAGAGGUCAAAGUUCAUCAGACUUGUGCAGACAGGUUCAUAGAAGAGGAAGUGUCAGGAGAAAAUCUAGAUGACUUUGAAAAGAAAGAUAUAUUAGAUCUGGGAAUAAAACACGGUCCUGCAGUCAAAAUCAUGUGUUAUCUAGAGAGGCUGAAGGAAGGAUCACAGCAGGAGUCACAGUUGCCAGCAUAUGUGGAAAAAUGGACAAAGGAGGAAGUGAACCAGUGGUUACUGCAGAAUGUGAAGGUGGACAAUAAAAAAGCCCAACGCCUCCUGGAGGAGGAUGUGUCUGGAGACUGUCUCGUUUGCUUCAAGAAGCAGGACUUUCUGGAUCUGCAGCUGAAAAGUGGACCU